UACGUAGGGUGCGAGCGUUAAUCGGAAUUACUGGGCGUAAAGCGUGCGUAGGCGGUUCGCUGUGUCCGAUGUGAAAGCCCCGGGCUUAACCUGGGAAUGGCAUUGGAAACUGGCGGGCUUGAGUGUGGCAGAGGGGGUGGAAUUCCGGCGUGUAGCAGUGAAAUGCGUAGAGAUGCGGAGGAACACCGAUGGCGAAGGCAGCCCCUGGGUUAACACUGACGCUCAGGCACGAAAGCGUGGGGAGCAAACAGG
rnacentral:rRNA from 1 species